AGUGAACGCUGGCGGCAGGCCUAAUACAUGCAAGUCGAACGGCAGCACAGCAGAGCUUGCUCUGUGGGUGGCGAGUGGCGGACGGGUGAGGAAUACGUGGGAAUCUGCCCAGUCGUGGGGGAUAACGUAGGGAAACUUACGCUAAUACCGCAUGCGCCCUUCGGGGGAAAGCCGGGGACCUUCGGGCCUGGCGCGAUUGGAUGAGCCCACGUCGGAUUGGCUAGUUGGCGGGGUAAAGGCCCACCAAGGCGACGAUCCGUAGCUGGUCUGAGAGGAUGAUCAGCCACACUGGAACUGAGACACGGUCCAGACUCCUACGGGAGGCAGCAGUAGGGAAUAUUGGACAAUGGGCGCAAGCCUGAUCCAGCCAUGCCGCGUGAGUGAAGAAGGCCCUCGGGUUGUAAAGCUCUUUUGUCCGGAAAGAAAAGCGCCGGGUUAAUACCCUGGUGUCCUGACGGUACCGGAAGAAUAAGCACCGGCUAACUUCGUGCCAGCCGCCGCCGUAAAAC
rnacentral:rRNA from 1 species